ACUCAAAGGAAUAGACGGGGGCCCGCACAAGCGGUGGAGCAUGUGGUUUAAUUCGACGCAACGCGAAGAACCUUACCUACCCUUGACAUGCUUGGAAUUCUGUAGAGAUAUGGAAGUGCCCGCGAGGGAGCCAAGACACAGGUGCUGCAUGGCUGUCGUCAGCUCGUGUCGUGAGAUGUUGGGUUAAGUCCCGUAACGAGCGCAACCCUUGUCCUUAGUUGCUAGCAGGUAAAGCUGAGAACUCUAAGGAGACUGCCGGUGACAAGCCGGAGGAAGGUGGGGAUGACGUCAAGUCCUCAUGGCCCAUACGGGUAGGGCCACACACGUGCUACAAUGGUCGAUACAGAGGGAAGCGAAGCCGUGAGGUGAAGCGGAUCUCAGAAAGUCGAUCGUAGUCCGGAUUGGAGUCUGCAACUCGACUCCAUGAAGUUGGAAUCGCUAGUAAUCGCGGAUCAGAACGCCGCGGUGAAUACGUUCCCGGGCCUUGUACACACCGCCCGU
rnacentral:rRNA from 1 species